CUUACCAAGGUCUGGCUCAAAACACACUGUUCUGGUGAACUAUGGAGGAGUUGCCGUCCCAAAAAGUCCAUUCCGCAUCUCUGUCGCACAACCAUUGGAUGCCUCUAAAGU